UUCACACGGAUACCACGAAUGCCACGGUGGCCUCCUGAAGACGGAGUCUGGUCUCACAUUCCUCCAGCUUCCUGUGCAUAAACCCCAGCGAAGGGUGAGCGCACGGCAUGGCACCUGCAGCAUGGGGUUCACGUUCUGGAAGGUUCUGGCUGACUCCCACCCCGCCCUUCACUGGCCAAGUAAACUUGCAGAAGUUACUUAACCCUUGACCUAGAAGAGCCUCCUGUCACCUGAAAAGGGAAAGUCGGGAUUGUAAGGAAAGGAAUCUCAUAGGGCUUCUCUGAGGAGACAAAUCAUUGGAUUGGGCUUAGACGUUCCAUCCGUGGUUUCCGGCUUUGCCCUUUGGAGCCUGAGGAGCAAGGGUAGAAUGAGGAUCGUGAGGUUCUUCAGAGGCAGUUACUCACGAGGUCACAGCGCAGAAACGGCAAGAAAUGUCUUUUUCCGUAAGGGAUCUAAAAAAUUAAACAAUUUGUAACUCAAACACACUUGUCAGGUAGCCUGAGUCAAAACCAGGAGAGGCUCCAUGGUCUGGAGUCUCCAGGUGCUCUCCUGGGUCAGGACAACUAUGGAUGUGAAGGAUGGGAGAGGGGCCUCCUUCCGCAUGAGGUCCCCAGAGGAGAGGGGUUCAUCCUUCUCCAUCUAGGACUUGAGGGACAUCCUUCUCCAUCCAGGACUGAGAGGCAUCCUUCUCCUUGCAGUACCUGAGGGACAUCCUUCUCCAUUCAGGACCUGAGGAUGUCCUUCUCUGUACUCCCUUGGGACUGCACCCUUUCCUGUGCCAUCCUUCAGAAUGCUAGGCUGUCGCUGGUUGUGGAUUGAACUCUAGCAUCUUAUCUCUAUUCUAGGUCUAAAGGCUACUUCAGCAGGUUCAGAAUUCCAAGGAAACCUACUUUCAACAGUGUGAGGCCUGUGCCUCAGUCAGCCGGGUGUGGAGUGGCCAGGUCGCACAUCAGCUGCAGGCACAGCCAGUUCAUGGGUAGACAGCCACAUCCUGCCCCAGGAGGAGGGCAGCCAGCAUGGGCGAUGCAAGCUCCCCUCGUCUGGAACCAGCACAUUAUGAAGAGCACCAAAGUGCAAGCCACAGGAUGGUAGAUGCUAUUUACAAUCCAUUCAACCAACAAAGGAUUUACAUGUGGACCACAGAGAGAACUGCAGGCCAGCAAGGAACCACAGGGAGAACUGCAGGCCAGUGAAGA
rnacentral:lncRNA from 1 species